UACGUAGGGGGCAAGCGUUAUCCGGAUUUACUGGGUGUACAGGGGGCGCAGACGGCGCGGCAAGUCCGGAGUGAAAUCCCAGGGCCCAACCCUGGGGCUGCUCUGGAAACUGCCGGGCUGGAGUGCUGGAGGGGCAGGCGGAAUUCCUAGUGUAGCGGUGAAAUGCGUAGAUAUUAGGAGGAACACCGGUGGCGAAGGCGGCCUGCUGGACAGCGACUGACGUUGAGGCCCGAAAGCGUGGGGAGCAAACAGG
rnacentral:rRNA from 1 species